rnacentral:lncRNA from 1 species
CAGCUAACAUGUGAGGCACUUGUGGAUUUUGAAGAAAUUGAUUCGGAUGUUACACUGAGAAUAAAAUAUUAGGCCUGUUGUGUUGGAGGAAAUUGAGCUUCCCAAUUAAUCUUCUAUACAACUUGGGGUCAGAAACAGGAGCACCAUAUCUAAUACAAGCUUGGCAGAUGGAUAUAAGGGAGUCAGCACAGGGGAGAAGUGUUGACAAUUAAAUUCAGAU